AAUGAACGUUGGCGGCGUGGAUUAGGCAUGCAAGUCGAGCGAGAACCCCGCAAGGGGGGACAGCGGCGAAAGGGACAGUAAUGUGUAGAUUAUCUGCCCUCAGGUCCGGGAUAGCUGCGGGAAACUGCAGGUAAUACCGGAUAACAUCUCCGGAUCAAAGGUGUGAUUCCGCCUGAGGAUGAGUCUGCAUCCUAUUAGCUAGUUGGUGGGGUAAUGGCCUACCAAGGCAUUGAUGUGUAGCAGGUGUGAGAGCACGACCUGCGUCAUUGCGACUGAGACACUGCGCAGACACCGACGGGUGGCUGCAGUCGAGAUUCUUCGGCAAUGGGCGCAAGCCUGACCGAGCGACGCCGCGGGUGGGAUGAAGGCCUUCGGGUUGUAAACCACUGUCAGAGGGGAUGAAAUGCAGGUGGGUUCUCCCAUCUGUUUGACAUAGCCUCAGAGGAAGGACGGGCUAAGUUCGUG
rnacentral:rRNA from 1 species